GCUUGAUCUAAUCAAAUCCCAAUCAAUCUAACUUGAAUUUAAUUCAAUUAGAUUUGAUUUGAACCUCAUAGCUCAAUUAGAUUGAGCCAGAUAGCAAUCUAAUUGCCAAUUGAUCCUCCUACAAUUCACUAACACUUAGUGAAUCUUUCGAUCGCAACGUUUGCAUUAUCAAUCAUAUUGAUAAUUAAUUUUCAUUACGAUUCUCAAUCGUAACUCAACCAUCUGAUCAGUCAAGAACUUCUUUUGUGUGUGACCCCAUAGGUUCCAAUCUGUUUGAUAGUGAGAUAUACCAUGAUCUCCAUCAUAAUAUCAUUGAAAUUUCUUUCAAUGGAUUAGAACAAUUCUAACUCACACACAUUAAAAAUCAUCAAUCCAGAAUGAUCCUAGUGGAUUCUCACAAUCCACUAGUGGCGUCUAGAAGCAUGUGAUGGCAAUCCAGCAGAAUAGAAAAUAGAAUCUCUAGGUGUAGUUACCGUGUGAUUCAGUUCUUCUAUCAUGAGUUCUGACAAGAUGGAGGUUAUGAAAAUUCGUCAAACCCCUUCAUCUGUUAUAGGAAAAAUUUGAUUAGCUCAAGUCCAGAUGUGAUACUCAUGGAAAUUCUUUUCCAUCAAUCAUCUUGCGCAUUUUACUUCUACAGUAAAUCUACUGUAGCCAACGUCCAC
rnacentral:lncRNA from 1 species